rnacentral:rRNA from 1 species
GUACACGCUGUGACUAGCAUAUCAAUAAGCGGAGGAAAAGGCGCAGUACCUACGCUUAGGAUGUUGACGAGACUGUCGAUCUCAUCUAUACAUGACUCUGUGCAUAUCAAUAAGCGGAGGAAAAGAGGGCUAUUACCUACGCUUAGGAUGUUGACGAGACUGUCGAUCUCAUCUAUACAUGACUCUGUGCAUAUCAAUAAGCGGAGGAAAAGAAACUAACAAGGAUUCCCCUAGUAACGGCGAGUGAAGCGGGGAAGAGCUCAAAUUUGAAAUCUUAAAGGGUUUCCCUUUACGAAUUGUAGUUUAAAGAAGUGUUUUCUGUUGAGGUUUUGGUAAAAGUUCUUUGGAAUAGGACAUCAUAGAGGGUGAGAAUCCCGUAUUUGACCUUUACUUUCAACUCUGUGAUACACUUUCAAAGAGUCGGAUUGUUUGGGAAUGCAGUCCAAAAUGGGUGGUAAAUUUCAUCUAAAGCUAAAUAUUGGCGAGAGACCGAUAGCGAACAAGUACCGUGAGGGAAAGAUGAAAAGAACUUUGAAAAGAGAGUUAAACAGUACGUGAAAUUGUCAAAAGGGAAGCGUUUGACACCAGUGUUGUUUUUCUGAAAAUCAAUUAAAGAACUGUUUAUGCUAAGCUGUUUAGACUUUAUCAGCUAUCUGUUUAGUUUUGAGCUUUUCUUUAAUGCACUUUUCAGUUAACAAGUCAACAUCAAUUUCUUUUGCUGUAAAAAAGCUUGAGGAAGGUGGCUUGAGAUUCGUCUUAAGUGUCUAUAGCCUCUUGCCUAUGCAGUCGGAGAGAUUGAGGUCUGCAGCGUAGAUCCUUCGGGGCUAAAUGCAUUUGUGCUAAGUUAUAGCAUUUCAUAGACAACUUGUUGACUAUGAUUUGUCUUGUAGCUUACUCGCUUAUGUUAUUUUACCUACGCUUAGGAUGUUGACGAGACUGUCGAUCUC